UACGGGGGGGGCAAGCGUUGUUCGGAAUUACUGGGCGUAAAGGGCUCGUAGGCGGCCAACUAAGUCAUACGUGAAAUCCCCCGGCUUAACCGGGGAACUGCGUCUGAUACUGGAUGGCUUGAGUUCGGGAGAGGGAUGCGGAAUUCCAGGUGUAGCGGUGAAAUGCGUAGAUAUCUGGAGGAACACCGGUGGCGAAGGCGGCAUCCUGGACCGACAUUGACGCUGAGGAGCGAAAGCCAGGGGAGCAAACGGG
rnacentral:rRNA from 1 species